AUUGAACGCUGGCGGCAGGCCUAACACAUGCAAGUCGAGCGAGCGGCGGCCGGGUGAGUAAUGCCUGGGAAUUGCGCAGUCGAGGGAGAUAACCGUUGGACACGACUGAUUAUACCGCAUCCGCUUGGAUUGCCGAGGUGGGAUUAGCUAGUUGUGGAGGUAAUGGCGCACCAAGGCGACGAUCCCUAGCUGGUCUGAGAGGAUGAUCAGCCACAAUGGAACUGAGACACGGUCCAGACUCCUACGGGAGGCAGCAGUGGGGAAUAUUGCACAAUGGGGGAAACCCUGAUGCAGCCAUGCCGAGUGUGUGAAGAAGGCCUUCGGGGUGUAAAGCACUUUCAGCGAGGAGGCGUUACUAGCAGAAGAAGCACCGGCUAACUCCGUGCCAGCAGCCGCGGUAAUUC
rnacentral:rRNA from 1 species